rnacentral:rRNA from 1 species
GACGAACGCUGGCGGCGUGCUUAACACAUGCAAGUCGAACGGUGACGAGGAGCUUGCUCCUCUGAUCAGUGGCGAACGGGUGAGUAACACGUGAGCAACCUACCCUUGACUCUGGGAUAACAGUUGGAAACAGCUGCUAAUACCGGAUACGAACUCAGCAGGCAUGUGCCGAGUUGGAAAGUUCCGACGGUCAAGGAUGGGCUCGCGGCCUAUCAGCUUGUUGGUGAGGUAACGGCUCGCGCAGGCGACGACGGGUAGCCGGCCUGAGAGGGCGACCGGCCCGACUGGGACUGAGAUACGGCCCAGACUCGUACGGGAGGCAGCAGUGGGGAAUAUUGCGGAAGGGGCGGAAGCCUGACGCAGCAACGCCGCGUGCGGGAUGACUGCCUUCGGGUUGUAAACCGCUGUCAGCAGGGACGAAACUGACGGUACCUGCAGAAGAAGCACCGGCUAACUACGUGCCAGCAGCCGCAGUAAUAC